AGUAUGAUAAUAAGAUGUUAUCUUCAUUAUAGAAUAAUAAUAAGAUAUAAUCUUUUUAUUAUAAUAAUAAGGUAAAAGGACCCCAAUGGAAAAAAAGUCACUCUGUCUGACUUUUUUGGGUUAUCCUAGGUUCUCUACACAUAUCCUGCUAUGUAUGAUAAUCUAUGUAACUGUAUUUGUGUAUACCUGAAUAAACUUACUUAAGCUUGCCCGAAAUGCUCCGCAUAACUGUGUCACCAACAGGGCUCAAUACGGUGUAAGCUGUCAGUAGCCCUUAUAAACCCAACAACAAGAAUGACAAUGGCGCGCCCUUACAGGGAACUCACUCCUUAUGAAAUAAAGCGGAUUUUGAUGGAAGGAGACGCCUGUACCAGCGAUGAAAGUUAUUCUGAAGUUGAUUUCUCAGAUUAUGAAGAAACAGAGAGUGUGUUGGACACCAGGAAUGACAAUACUAGCUGUCCCACGCAAGAUAUUGGUGUGGCGUCAACGUCAGGCCUGGGUAACCAAGGACCGCGGAGAAAAAAGGUCUGUACUCGUCAAGAUGACAGUGAUUGGAGCAGUUUAAGUGAAGACAGUGAAGAAGAAAAAUAUGCUUUUGUGUAUAGGGUGGAAAGUGCCGAAUCAAGUGAUAGCGAUGCUGCUUUUUUCGCCACUACAACGAAACUAUGUUCGUCGCCGCACACGGUCUAGUGCUGCUGCUUUACAAGAUAUUAGUGACAGUAGUGGUGAAAAUAAUUGUGUAGAUAUUGGUCUUAGUUGUAGACCACACUCAGUGCAACUAACAGCUGCCGUGCCAACAUCUGCCAUGGUGACAGCACCUUCCAUGACACCAUCUGCUGUGCCAACAGCUGCCUUGCCACCAUCUACUGUGCCAGCAGCUGCCGUGCCACCAUCUACUGUGCCAGCAGCUGCCGUGCCACCAUCUACUGUGCCAGCAGCUGCCGUGCCACCAUCUACUGUGCCAGCAGCUGCCGUGCCACCAUCUACUGUGCCAGCAGCUGCCGUGCCACCAUCUACUGCGCCAGCAGCUGCCGUGCAACCAUCUACUGUGCCAGUAUCUACCGUGCCAACACUGAAUAUUGUGCAACCGCCAGUGGACAGGGUUUGGAACUGGCAGAAAGAUGCCUUAUUGUUUCCAGAUUCAUUACAGUUUGAUGCAACUAAGAGUGGAAUUCUGCCAAAUUGUCCAGUAACAAAUGAUUCAAUUGAACUUGAUUAUUUCCAAUUAUUUUUUGAUGAGACACUUAUGAAGAUUAUUGUGACUCGGACAAAUAGUUAUUACCAGCACACUUUGGCUAAUGCGGUUUCAGCAAAAUCUCAGCUUCGACAGUGGAAAGAUACUACUGUUGCAGAGAUGUAUCUUUUCUUUGCAACACUAAUGCUAAUGUCACAUAUUCGUAAAACGAGUAUUUCAAAAUAUUGGAGUAUAAAUAAACUUAUAGCUACACCAGCUUUCAGAGAAAUAAUGUCACUUGAUAGAUUUCUUCUGCUACUGCGUAUGUUGCAUUUCUCUGACAAAAGUAAUCCCCAGAGAGAUGAUUUGCUAUACAAAAUCAGAGAAGUGACUGUGUACCUGAAACAGAAAUUUAGUGAGUUCUUUUAUCCCUUCAAGAACAUUGUUAUUAACGAGUCGUCGAUUUUAUUCAAAGGUAGGCUUUCAGUCAAACAUUGUAUACCUAGCAAUAAACAUCGCAGUGAUAUAAAAGUGUUUGUUAUGUGUGAUUGUCAAACAGGUCUAGUGUUAGACAUUAUUGUCUAUGCAGGCAAGAAAACUGUAGAAAAUACAAAUACAAGUGACAUUUUAGGAAUCUCUGGUUCUGUUGUUAGGAAAAUGAUUGAACCAUAUCUUGGAAAAGGUCAUACUAUAUUUACAAAUAACUGGUAUAUAAGCCCCUCACUUUGUGAUUACUUACGGGUAAACAAUACGGAAAUAUUUGAGACAGUGAGACCAAAUGAAGUGCAGGUAUUUCAUACCAGUAACAUGAUGGCAUUUCGGUGGCAUGAUAAGCGAGAUAUAACAUUGUUGACAACCACACCUGGGCAUGAAAUGAGUGAAACUGAAGAGGCAAAUAGCUACACAAAUGAAUCUAUUGAGAAACCACUUGCAGUCAUCGAUUACACCAACAGUAUGCAUUCGGUUGGCAAAUCAGACAUGCAGACUGUGUCUGCGGAUUGUGUCAGAAGAAAGUGCAAGUGGUAUAUGAAACUGUUUUUACAUCUCUUAGAUGUUGCAAUGCUAAAUGCAUAUAAUAUGUUCCAUGUUAAGACGGGAAAGAAACCAAAACUACGUGACUUCCAUUCAUCUGUCAUAAGACAGAUGAUAGAAACAUACCACAAGGCCUCCCCAUCAUCAACAGGUCACCACCAUAGUAAUGAAAAUUAUCCAUUUCAGCUAAAGACUGAUGGGCACUUCUGUGUAAGUAUUUCUCAUGCAGGAAAGAAGAAAGUACAGAAAAGAUGCUAUUUGUGUCAGCACACAGCCAAAAAAUCAAGAAAGUGCAGAUAUACACAGUAUCGCUGUGAGUUGUGUGAUGUUCCACUGUGCCCUGUUCCAUGUUUCAAGGAAUAUCAUGUCUUGAAAAAAAUUGUAGUAUCUUAAUAAUUCCCUUUACAUAAUGUUGGAAGACAAAAACAAUCAUUAGAAGGAAGACAAAAUACUCUACGUAUAUACAGUAUUUGUAAAAAUUUGUAUUGAAUGUUGAAAUUGUGGAUAUGGUGCAAUGUGCUAUGCCUAUUUUCCACAUGAAAACAAUUUUCAUGUGGUUUAGAAAAAUUAAAAAAUUUCAUCACUGCUUAUCGAACUAAUGUUAGUGCUACUAUGGAGAAAUAAUUGUUCACGAACUUCAGCACAUAAAACAGCAGUAUCAGGCACAUCCAUCGCUGUCUUCAUGCCCAACGGAAUCCAUGCUGCUUGAUGGUCUUCCUCAAACAAUCCUUUAAGAAGUGUGCAGUGAACUUUAGCUUCAAUGCCUUUCUGUCUCCAGAAGGAAUGCAUUCAUCUCACCCACUCCUGGUUGCCGCUGCCAUCUAAGCAAUGUGGAUAAAUUACUGUACAUAAAAAUCCUGUACUUUUCCAUAGAGGGUCAGUGUGGUGGUUGGCAGCUGACAGUUACUACCAAUUCAUCGGUAGUGCUGAGAUUGCUGACAGUUUGGCCAUCCAACAUAGUGUGUAGCUGCUAUUCUUAUUUAGUUGCCUAAUACCUGUCUGGCUCUACGACCCACUGCUACCUUUCUUGGUGACUACCUUCAAACUAUCUUGUGUUCUUCCAGAACCCAUUGUCUUGACUCCUAUCAUGUUACACUUCUGUCCCUGUACAAAAACCAUUACCUGGUCUUUUUUCUAGACACACCUAAUGCACUUCCAUAUAUUCAGCUGUUGGUCCUUCCCACCCCUUUUCUGUCCUGACUAUCAUGGCAGAAUUGGAAGUUCUUUCUCGCUACCCAACAAAGUGGGGCACACCCUGACUCUUUUGGAUAUUAAUAACAAUACAGUUGUUGUUUUGCUGUACCCUCUUUUAUUACUGUGUUGACCCUUUACAGUCUGUUGCAAAUAUGGUUCAAGAUAUCUUAAGAGAUGGAGACACUAGAGAACAUUACUGCUUCUGUAAUGUCUGCAUUCCCAGCAGCUUUUUACAAAAGUGAGGUGUAUUCAGAGCAGUUUCCUUUGCCCACCGUUAAGCUUUUUAUUUGUAAACCACUCGAGACAUUGCAACUCUUGUAUAAAAUAACUCUUAGAUUCCUCUCUUUCUUUCAAUAUUUUAUCACACGACCUUUAUUCUUUGCAUGGCCAGUGUCUUUCUUUAAUCCAUUUCCAUCGUAUACUUGAGACUAACUUAUAUUAAACUCCAUUUGCUCAUUUACCUAAGUUUUCCUACAUUGCUUUACAUGCAAAAUUUUUUAUUACUUUUAUUUUUUUAAGAUUUUUGCAUUAUCAGUAAAUGUGUUCAUAUACUGUAGUUUUUGCUCCUGGUUAGUCAUUUAUAUAUGUGAAAUUAGAAAUACAUAAACUGGGCACGUAUUGGUCAUUGCAGGUCUUGUCUGAGGACAUUUUCCUUUGUGAAAAUUUUUACUUGUCACUGUUACUACUUUCCUUUCAAUUGAAUAUCUCGUCUCCAUUUUAAUAGUUUAACUUCAACCAUUUUUGUUUCAGUCUGCCCAUUAAUUUCUUUCUUAAAUACUGUACUUUGUGAUUAUUGUAGUACAGUAGCUUGAUUUGAUAAACUGUAUGAUUUUACUGAUUAGAAGCAGGAUUUGAGACUAGGUUUUUGUUUGCAUUGUAAUGCAUUUGGUGAACAACUUCUUGUUCACCAGACUGCCAUCAAUGACAGAUAAUGUGACCUUUUUUUUUUUUUUACAGUUUGUUAAACCUGUGGAACAGACCACUCACCAGAGCUGUUAAAGCUCAUGACUCAGACACCACUCUUUAAUGCUCAUCACACAUUUAGUCACAAGCUUAAUCUGUAAAUAGUGAAAAGGAGUUAUUUAGUACAUGUAAUAUAGUACAGUACUGUAGUUUUCUUCCGUAUAGUUUAUUUUUGUUGAUGUUUAAAAACAUAAACUUCUAUUUCUUGUAUUUAUUAUAAUUUCUUAGUUUUUGUUUUUGUAUCCAGCUUUCUAAUUCAUGACAUUACAAUAAUUUGUAAAUAUUGAAUGAUUUAUGUCUUAGAAGAGAAGAAAAGCCUGGCUGGAAGGUAUUCAUUAGGCCAGAAAACUUAUAACUUAGAGCAUCCUCAUUCUUAAGCAUUCAGAGGCUUUGAAAAAAAAACAUAUUGUGCAAUCGAGCCUUGAAAUUUGCAAGCUUUGUGAUUCCGAGAUUAUGUUAUUAACUGUUUUAUUAAAGUACAUCUUACUGGUUGCCUCAAUUAUUCACCAUUUUUU